ensembl:snRNA U6 U6 spliceosomal RNA
GUGCUUGCUUCGGCAGCACACAUGCUAAAAUUGGAACGGUACAGAGAAGAUUAGCAUGGCCCCUGCGCAAGGACGACACGCAAAUCCAUGAAGCAUUCCAUAUUUUU